UACGAAGGGUGCAAGCGUUGUUCGGAUUCACUGGGCGUAAAGGGUGCGUAGGUGGUCGGGUAAGUCCGGUGUGAAAUCUCGGAGCUCAACUCCGAAACUGCAUUGGAUACUAUUUGGCUAGAGGGUUGGAGGGGGGACUGGAAUUCUCGGUGUAGCAGUGAAAUGCGUAGAUAUCGAGAGGAACACCAGUGGCGAAGGCGAGUCUCUGGACAGCAACUGACGCUGAGGCACGAAGGCCAGGGGAGCAAACGGG
rnacentral:rRNA from 1 species